GCCAUUCUUUAAUACUCUUUCCCUUAGAAAUUUUUUGGCAUUUGUAUUCACAUUUAUUGAUACAGUAUCAAGGAUUUGAUUUUAUACAAGGGGAUUAAAAGAGAAUUGGGUGCUUUUAAAAUAUAUUACGUACAAAACUGUUCUGAAUGAGCAUGCUAUGUACACAUAGGGGUAUAUUAGAAAACUUGUGUUUGUACCACCCAGUCUUGAGGAAAUGAAGGACCACAUGUAAGCUACUAUUUCUUUCUUCCAUAAUGAUCCAUCCGACACAAGAUGCACAUAUAAGAUUGCAGGAACAACUGAGACAAUUCCUCUAUAGAUCACAUGCUUACAUGUAACAUAGCUACUGAAUAAUAAACUUUUGAAGGUAUUUGGCUCUUUUAAAUCACUCUGUCUUGCUUUGGAACUGUUGUUUAUUGUGCAUAUGGCAUAUGGAACAAAAAAUAAAAACAUGAACUUUUUUAAGUACAGAAACCUAUGUUCAUUUCCCCUUAAUACCCAUUAUAGUAUUGGGAACAGAGCUAGUCUUCAAUCUGGACUUGCUGAAAGAAUAAGAUAUUACUUUGACACAGUGUGUUUUAUUGGAGUAUAGGAUAGAGCUCUCCUAACUCUUGCACAUUUAUUUUGAAAAAAAAAAUUAAGUAAUAUUUUAAGACAAAAACCAGAUUUUUUUCUAAUCCUUAGUAUCAUCUAGUAGGCAAUGACACAAAUAUUUAUUUUAAGUGAUAUCCCAAGCACUUGCUUUCUUAAAGCCAAGCAAACAUUUAUCUUUACUCCCUUUACCAGACUUUCUUUAGUAACCAAGAACAGUCUUUCUUCCAUAAUCUCCCAAGCUCUCUACCUUCCUCUGUUAAGAGUGUGCACAAAUUCCAACCCAGAUGAAAAGUCACAUCCUAUGUAGUUAUUUAUUUUAUUCAUAGCCUUAAGAACUAAGUCAGGUCUAAAAAUCUGUUUUUGUCAUUAAUUUUUGUGGGUAUCAGUUUAAAAAAACUUAAUUUGAUUAAUUUAUUUGUACAAUGUUUACAUGUAUAUACAAACAUAUAGUACAUGUAAAAUUUAUCUUGCUGUCUUAAUAACCUAAAGGGGAAUACUAUACCAACUAUAAAUUCAAUAAAGUACAUAUACCACCAACAUAAAUUGGUAAAAGAAAUAAUGGGGGCAAACAGGUCUCUACAGAGUGAUCUUAUAAGGAGUGAAUGAUAUUUCCUUAACUUUAACUCUGAUGAAAUCACAUUUUCUUCUGGUUUAUAGCUUUUUCUACAGUUCUAUUUUCCACAUCUUUUUCAAAUUGCCCUCAACUUUUAAAUUUUAUUCCUUGACUUCUAAUUUAAACCUAAUACAUGAGAAUGAGACAGUUAAACCCCUGGCAAGUUUUUGUAGAGGCACUCCUAGUUUCAUCACCCAGGGCAAGGGGAAAAGCUAUUUUCAAAAUAGGCCAGGUGAAAAUAUAAUAGGGGAAAGUGCAUCUUUUAAAAAUUAAUCUUUCGUCAAUUCAUUCCUUCAGCAAACAUUUAUUGGGCACCUGUUAAGUGCCAAGCAUUAUUCUGGCUGCUAGGGGUACACACGUGGAAGAGAAAAUGAUCUCUGCCAGAAUGCUACUUGGAGGAGACAAUACAUGAGAAAAUAUGUGUAAAGUGAAAAGCGCUAUAAAGAAGGGGAGCAAGAGGAAGGUGGUUACAAUUUCACAUAUGGUGGGCAGAGAGGGCCUUUACUGAGAAGGCGAUGUUUGAGCAAAGGAGUCAGGGAUGUAUGUGGGAGAAUUGUGCAUGCAGAGGGGAUUAAGUACAGAAGCCUUGAGCUGGUAACACACUUGGUGUGGAUGAAGCAGAGUGAGUAGGUGGGGAGGUUGGAGAGCUUCCAAAGGGCCCUGGACAUUGAAGCACAUUGUAAGGAUUUGACUUUAUUCUGAUUGAGAUAGGGAACCAUUGAUGGGGUUUGAGUAGUGUUAUGGCAUGAUAUGGCUUUCGGUUUAAAUGAUCACUCACUGUGGUGGUCAGAGGCUAUUCUAGAAAAUCUGUCAUAAAGUUGUGCCUUGGACCCAGGUGGUAGUGAUGGG
rnacentral:lncRNA from 1 species